UACAGAGGUCUCAAGCGUUGUUCGGAUUCAUUGGGCGUAAAGGGUGCGUAGGUGGCGCCGUAAGUCGGGUGUGAAAUUUCGGAGCUUAACUCCGAAACUGCAUUCGAUACUGCGGUGCUUGAGGACUGGAGAGGAGACUGGAAUUUACGGUGUAGCGGUGAAAUGCGUAGAUAUCGUAAGGAAGACCAGUGGCGAAGGCGGGUCUCUGGACAGAUCCUGACGCUGAGGCACGAAGGUCAGGGGAGCAAACGGG
rnacentral:rRNA from 1 species